rnacentral:tRNA from 1 species
AAAAAGAUAAGCUAAGGUAAGCUAGUGGGUUCAUACCUCAUUUAUAAAGGUAUGAGACUCCUUUUCUUUUUA